GAUUAUGGCUCAGAACGAACGCUGGCGGCGCGUCUUAAGCAUGCAAGUCGAACGGCAAGAGGUAGCAAUACCUCCUAGAGUGGCGGACUGGUGAGUAACACGUGGGUGACAUACCCUUCAGAUGGGGAUAGCUAUUAGAAAUAGUAGAUAAUACCGAAUACGAGCACAGGGGUUAGAGAUCUGUGAGGAAAGGAGCUAAGGCUCCGCUGAAGGAAUGGCCUGCGGCCCAUUAGCUAGUUGGUGAGGUAAGAGCCCACCAAGGCGAUGAUGGGUAUCCGGCCUUAGAGGGUGAACGGACACAUUGGGACUGAGAUACGGCCCAGACUCCUACGGGAGGCAGCAGCUAAGAAUAUUCCGCAAUGGACGAAAGUCUGACGGAGCGACGCCGCGUGGAUGAAGAAGGCCGGAAGGUUGUAAAAUCCUUUUGAAACUGAAGAAUAAGCGUUGUAGGGAAUGACAGCGUGGUGACAGUAGGUUUUGAAUAAGCAACGGCUAAUUACGUGCCAGCAGCGGC
rnacentral:rRNA from 1 species